GGACUACUGGGGUAUCUAAUCCUGUUUGAUCCCCACGCUUUCGCGCCUCAGCGUCAGUUGUCGUCCAGAUAGCCGCCUUCGCCACCGGUGUUCCUGCUAAUAUCUACGAAUUUCACCUCUACAUUAGCAAUUCCGCUAUCCCCUCCGACACUCUAGUUUAACAGUUUCAAAGGCAAUUCUGGGGUUAAGCCCCAGGAUUUCACCCCUGACUUGAUAAACAGCCUACGCGCGCUUUACGCCCAGUAAUUCCGAACAACGCUAGCACCCUUCGUAUUACCGCGGCUGCUGGCAC
rnacentral:rRNA from 1 species